UUGAUAGAAACCAAAACAGAGGUAUAUCACUGUUAAUGAUAAAAUUGAAUUACUUUUCCUAUCAAG
rnacentral:tRNA from 1 species